rnacentral:rRNA from 1 species
GACGAAGGGGGCUAGCGUUGCUCGGAAUCACUGGGCGUAAAGCGCACGUAGGCGGAUUGUUAAGUCAGGGGUGAAAUCCUGGAGCUCAACUCCAGAACUGCCUUUGAUACUGGCGAGCUCGAGUCCGGGAGAGGUGAGUGGAACUGCGAGUGUAGAGGUGAAAUUCGUAGAUAUUCGCAAGAACACCAGUGGCGAAGGCGGCUCACUGGCCCGGUACUGACGCUGAGGUGCGAAAGCGUGGGGAGCAAACAGG